UUGCAUAUAUUAGGUAAAAUUAAUUUCACUUGGGUUUAAUUCUUUUUAGUUUUUUUAAACGUGCCUAUAGAACACUUUAAAUGACAAAUGUGGCCGACCUUAUAUUUUUAUUGGGCAGUGCUGCUACAGACUUUCAGAGGAUGGACUCAGCAACAGAUACUGAAACAUCUGAAAACCUUGAAAGAAGGGGUGAGAUCUCUGCUGGAAGGAUACAUACACAGGCUCUGAAUUAGAAAACAAGAGAAGGAAUAUCCUGCUAAUUUCUAGUUCUGAAGAGUCGGUCUCUUAUGGAGUUUAUAUCAAGGGACCAAAACAGUUUGGCAACUAAAGACAUAUAUUUUUACAUCGACAGAAAGUGCUACAUGAUAGAAGAGAAGAUUCAUUCAGAUGCACACAGAUUACCAUUCUCAUGCUGUAUGAUUUGCAUGAUACCGGAAAGCCUCAUUACCGUCCAAACUUCAAUGUUUUACCUAUUGGUCAAAGUCUUGAAUUCCCAAAUAAAACUAGUUUCCUCAGAGUCAUGUUCUAAGGGGGUUGAGUUGCAGGCACCACAGUAUUAAUAUACUUCUUGAGGGAAGGGGAUGUCUGUUUUGUUUACCCUUUCUAUUAGUCUUAUUAAAAUCUCAUCUUUAAAUUCCAGGGUGGCAUUAUAGUUGAUUUUCUCCCUCUCCCUCUCUCUUCUUCUCUUUCUCUCUUUAUCCAGAUGGGUGGACACAGGGACACAGGGUAUAGAUAGAGCUUAUGUCUGUUCGAAGCCCAGUAAAUAAGAAAAGGGGAGGUCCUGAGCAGAGGAAGAUGACCAUUUUUCCAUCACUUCGGAAGAUUUUGGGGGACAGGAGGAGGGUUGUCAUCUCACAGGCCCUCAGAAAGAUGAAUCCUUUUCUGGUUAGGCUAGAGGAGGGAGAACACUUCCUCUAGAGGGCCCAAAGAGAUCACCAGCAUCCCCACAGAUGACACACGGGUCCUGUUUCCACAGCCCUCUUCCUAUGGAGCGGGCCACAUGGAGCAGCCUAAUACCAGCAGCUCACCGGAGUAUAUUGAAAAUUAGCUGGGGUUUUAGGAGCAGGGCAAAAAAAUAAGUGUUCAAGCUUUAAAAAUAUGUUGCUAAUAACUAGACACACACUCAUAUUUCAAAUAUUGCUUUGGUAUGUACAUUUUAAACUGCUACAUUUAAUCAUGUUAUACCAAUCACUUUUGCAUCUAUGGCCUACAGAUUGGAACCACUUCAUGGAACAGUCUGAUACCAA